rnacentral:rRNA from 1 species
UACAGAGGUCUCAAGCGUUGUUCGGAUUCAUUGGGCGUAAAGGGUGCGUAGGCGGCGCGGUAAGUCGGGUGUGAAAUCUUGGAGCUUAACUCCGAAACUGCAUUCGAUACUGUCGUGCUUGAGGACUGGAGAGGAGACUGGAAUUUACGGUGUAGCGGUGAAAUGCGUAGAUAUCGGAAGGAAGACCAGUGGCGAAGGCGGGUCUCUGGACAGUUCCUGACGCUGAGGCACGAAGGUGAGGGGAGCAAACGGG